UAAUUGAUCCUGCCAGACCGAAGCAUAAUCAGUAAAUUUAAGAGUUGCUAGCUUGAUUUUCUCCUCUUCACUGUAGUUAUGGCAACCAAAGAUUAGUUCGACCUUUCGUUCCCAUUUAAGAUAGGCCUCAGCAUCAUUUUUCCCUUAGAAGACUGGUUUUUUAAAAGCACUAAGAUCUUUGUCUACUUUUUCUCGUCGAUC
rnacentral:lncRNA from 1 species